UUUACAAAAUCUUUAAAAAAAUAAAAUUAUCUCACCUAACUCUGAUCUAAUUCCAUUAAUCCUCAGAAGAGAGGUGAGGUCCUAUCCUGGAUUGGGAAGGCCCGUGCAAAUGGGCUGCUGGGAUCUGUGCACGUGCAAUGCUGGGUCUCUGUAACCAUCACGUGGUUCCUUCCCGUCACUGAGCACAGCUCACUGCAUGCCGGGCAGCUGUACCGGUGUUCUCUCUAGUGGUCACUACAGUGCGGGAAGUUGAUUUUAUCUACUUCAGUUCAUAGCUGAGAGAAGUGAGGCUUAUGCAAGUUAAGGAGCUAGCCCAAGGGCACAGAGCUAGUUGGUGGAGAGGACUUGCCCCUGUGUGCUCUCACCGAUGAUUUGUCCCUCAGCGCACAGCUCUCCGGGCUCUGGCUCUCGCCAGAGAGCAUCCAGAUAAUUCUUGAAGCCAGCUUUCUUCUGUUUGUACUGACCUUGGGAUUCCGGGAUGUAAACCAUGAUACGUGGUCCUGAAGUUAGACAAAAUGUUGGCUGUCUUGGUAGCACAACACCCUGAAGGCGCUGUUCUUCCAGGAGUGGCAUGUUCCAGUGUGUGUUUCUGAGGAAGAGAGAAAGAGGG